CUGAAUGGGUGAGGGUGCGGGGCGAGUGGAGGCUCGCUGGAGCCAGAACAUUGUUUCAAAUGGAGGUUUUAUUGUCACGUGUUCUCAGGUACAGGCAACCAGAGACCGUGAGAAGCGGACAGUGUCCCCAAACGUAGCGGCCGCUGAGGUUCAACGUACCCAGGUACAAAAUGUUAGUUACACAAAAAAAUAACUUCAGUACUACACUUGUAAAGCCAUACAGUACAGUCCUUCCUUAAGCCAUGGGCCUGCAGACAGUACAAGCUGAGCUUCCGCAGGAUGGCAUGCUGUCCCCCUUCACUGGGCAUGAAACUGCCUGUAGCCACCAACACCUGUUGCAGCCGCCAUCCCCACGCCACUCAGAAGGCUUUGGCCGUGACUGCCGCUGCUGUUGCCUUCCAGUAUAUUUUGGGCCCCAUCCACUGCCCUACUCCAUUGCUGCAUCAGCCAACUUGCAGAGUCCAGCUCUGGCAGCGGUUCGGACAUUGAUGAGGCCAUGAUGUUGCUGAUUGCAACCAGAUUCCUUGUGGCCAACCAUCAAUACUGUCAUCUGCAUGACCAAGUUCCAAAGACCAAAGAUUCAUGAGGAGAAAGGAAGAAAGAAGAGUGGUCAGAAGCUCUUCUCAGCCACCAUCUUGGAUGUAGAAUUGUUCUCUGGACAGAGGAGAGGACUGCUUUCUGUCCACUUUUUUAAAAUGGCACAUUCAGGGGCAAGCAUUUCCGAAUUGUGAUAUCUGAUUGGAAUUGACAACAAGAGAUAACAGAGCCCCUCCAUUCACAAACACAUCACCAUCAUCAGCUUUCCACUGUGUAAGACCAGAAGUGUGCUUGAAAUACCACAUUCCUGUUUGUCCUUCCAGGAAUUGAAGGAAGACCAUGCGGAAGGACAGGAAGCAGCUGACAUGAACAGUGUUCCAGUUUGGCAGGAGGAGCAAGAUGAAGCAGCAUCAACAGCAGAGUGACAAGGAAACAAUGGGAGAUUAACAUGGACAGGGGAGCAGCAGAAUGCAUCCCUUCUUUGCUGUAACUAGACUCUGGUUUUGAAGGGUGAAAUGGGAUAAUAUAAGCUAAGUGUGUGACAUUCUACUUUGAGGUUGGUCUCUCCAGAGCAAUGUGUAUGUUUCCCCUCUGUGGUGAAACUGAUGUUUGGGUUCCCUUGGAGAUGAGCAGUUUUCCCAUCUCAAAACUUUAAUCCCAUUUCCAUUAUUGCUUGAGAUUUAAAUGUUACUGAUAUGAGCACUUGGAACAUCAGAACACAAGCCUGUGGGCCACAUGCUGGAAACUGGGAUGAUGGGUUUUUACAGCAUGGAAAGAAGUCCAACAACCCAAUCAUUUUGGAGAAGAAACUUACCUCCAAAUAAAAAAGACACCAAAAGCUGUGUCAUUAACUAAAGAUGUAAAGCUUUCUGCCACCAUUCCUGGCAGCCUAUUGGUGAGGAUUUGGCACUUUUACUUCCAUGGCCCAGAUUUGCUUCCCAGUCAGGAAAUCAUACUUUAUUCUUCCUUGUAGUGACAACUGCAAAAACAGAGCAGCUCUCAUGGGAUCCUUUCAAUAUUCUAGAUCAGGUAAAUUCUGAAGGGUCACUCGAUCAGAAACAUUAACUCAGAUUUCUCUCCACAGAUGCUCCCAGACCUGCUGAGCUUUUCUAAUAAUUUCUGUUUUUGUCUCUGAUUAACUGACUCCACAGUUCUAAUUUUUCUUCUGGAUCCGUUAGCAUUCCAGUGUCUGAAAGAUGUUGAAUGUAACUUGAAUGUUUCUGCUCAGACCAUUUAUCCUUCAUUGUCUUCUGAUUCCAAUUCUCAAAGAGUUUCUAAAGAUUUACAAAGCUGAGACUAUACUUUUUGUGCUGAAUCCACCCCAUUCCCAGGGGACAUAGCGAUGGGUAGGUGGAUUUGGGAAAUGGAAGAAAAAAGGUGCCCAUAAACAGAUUGUAUGGCUAUUUCAGCUAUCCACUUCUCAGAUGACACACCUCUGGUGGUUCUGUGAUAUUUACUGAUGCAGGACAGUGAAAGGAUUCUCUUUCCUGCAGAUCUCCAAUUCAGGGCAAUGAGAAAGAUUAAUUUGGAAGCAUGACAUAGCGGUAAAUUAAGCCAGACAGGAGUUGAACCUAGAAUGACAUUGGAUUAGGGCAAAUUUGAUAUCCAUUGCCACCACUGGACCCGUGUCUGCCCAACACCUGCAUGCUGCAGAGUUGUGGUGUUAAACAGGGAUAUGCACAGCAAUGGUAACAUUCACAAAGUCAACAACCAAAGAUAAUCACCAUCACUGGUCUCCAUUUUCAUAGAAUCACAAAUUUCAUAGAAUCCCUGCAGUGUAGAAACAGGCCAUUCGGCCCAACAAGUCCACACCACCCCUCCAAACAGCACCCCACUUAGAUCUAAUUCUGUAGCAUUUUCCUUGCCUAACACACCUAAACAUCCCUGGGCACUAUAGGUAAUUUAGCAUAGCCAAUCCACCUACCCUGCACAUCUUUGGGCUGUGGGAGGAAACAGGAGCACCCAGAGAAAACCCACGCAGAACAGGGAGAAAGUGCAAACUCCACACAGUCGCCAGAGGCUGGAAUUGAACCUGGGUCCCUGGCAUUGAGGGGUAGCAGUGCUAACCAUCAUGCCACCCCUUUGUGAAGCAUGAAUUUCACUGGCAAAAGAAACAUUUGUCCUUAGAUGCCUGCUUCACUGUUGCUUGUUUCUCUGCCACAACUUGCUGUCCUUUUACUGACACUGCCCUUUUAUAACCCACUCCAGUGAAAUGUGUGUUAUGUUCGUGGUCAUUUUGAGUCAAGCCCUGAACCAAUUCAAGCAGAAAUCUCCGGUCAUUUCUGGCCUGGACUCUGGAAUCAGAUGAUUUGAACAAAACCUAUGUUGGUGUUGCUCGUCACUGCAGCUCAGUGCCUCAAGACAGAUUCCUGUUAGCAUCAGCUUAUUUUGUAUCGUGCUGCAAUACAUCUGCUUCACAACGUCAGAUUAACACAGCUUUGCUUUCCUCACAUUGAGACCCAGGGCAAUAAUAUGAACUUCUUGGAUUCUGGAGAGUUUUGAUCCAUAUGGGUCUGUAUAUGGGGUCCAGUUGGAUCAAAACCAGAAAUGACACUACUCACCAUAACAGACCAGAGGGUAAUUCCAAGUAAUUCCAAGCAGAGUACAAUAACAUUGCUUCAUCGGAGGCUCCGCUGAUGAUGUCACUUAGUACACAAACCAUCUGAACGAGAAUAUGCCAGCUCAGCAAGUCAACAACCUCACCUACAACCCAAGGUACAGAUCUUUGCCAAAAAACUUUAAAUCCCUCUGCGUAUAUUAACACAGUUAAUGGGUCCCAACAGGAUGAACGCAUCCUCUUUAUCCUGCCGUUUAAACAGGUGAAAAUAUCAGUUUUAAACCAAUGCAAAUGGAGAUUGUCUUUUUGUGUGUAUUUUCAGUGGAGAAUGUUCAACUGUGAACUGUCCAUUUUCACAAAAGCAUGAAUUAAUUGAAAUUCUCACUGAUCAACACUGGUACAGAAAAUACAACAUUGAGUUACCUAGACCGAGUGGUAAAAGGAAACGAACAGAUGAAUGGGGGAAAAGAGAACUUGUGUGGCGCUGUGGCUUAGUUGUUUAAAAGCUUUCUUAGGUUUAACUCCCAGUGAUGCCUGUGCAUCACACUGAAUGUUCCUCAUUUAAACUUCUAUCAAUAACAAUAUUGUUGGCCUAACCUGAUGAUGGCAAAGGAAACAUGCUUCUUUUGCUUGAUCUAUGCUGGUUAUUAUUGCACCACUCCCAUUCCUGUUGUCCAGGGUUGCCCCCAUUGGGAAACGUCAUUUCUUGCUGUUUGGUAAACAGUAAUAAAAAGGUUGUAAACUAAUCAGAGAGAUAAUUUCAUCAAGCAUUAUAUCAGAGAAAGCCACAACUAACUUGGUUGUGACGAAUAGUCCCUGGAGCUGAAACUUUAACUCUGUUUCUCUCCACAGAUGCUGCCAGCCCUGCUGAAUUUCUUGACCAAUUUCUCCUUUGUCAGAUUUCCAGCAUCUGCAGUUUUAUGUAUUAUGUACACCGGAAUAUAGUUUGGGACAGACACACCUACCUAGUACCUUCCCUUGUAAUCAUAAAAGAUGCAGUACCUGCCCACACACCACCUUCCUCACCUCCAUUCAAGGCCCUAAAAGUGCCAAGUGAGACAGACUUUCACUUGUAUCUCCUCCAAUCCAGUCUGUUGUACCUGGUGCUCCCAAUGUGGUCUUCUCUACUUUGGUGACCCAAAUGCAGACUAGAUGACUGUUUUGCUGACCAUCUCUACCUGGACCAUUCUGGCCAACCUAACCUUCAGGUCAGUACCUAUUUUAACUCCCCUUCCCACAUGUCUGCCCUCAGCCUCUUCCAGUGUCACCAUAACUCAGAUCACACAUUUGAAGAACAUUUUAUCUUCUGCCAGGGCACCCUACAGCCCAGAGGACUCAACAAUGGAGUUCUCCAAUUUCAAGUGACCUUGCCACUCCUCUCACCUCCCCCGCUAUCCCCACCAUUACACCUUCUGACCCUCCUUUCCAGCCACCAACCAGAUUCAUCCCUCCCAUCAACCAAGCAGGUCAUACCCACCAAAAGAGUGUCCACCAAUCACCUCCACCCCUUCUUAUUGCAACGCCACUUACCUACAUCCAGUCGUGAAGAAGGGUAAUAGCCAAAACGUUGACUGCUCCUUUCCUCCAGAACAAAAACAGGAAUUGCUGGAAAAGCUCAGCAAAGGUAUGGACAACAUCUGCAAAGAAAAAAAAUAUCAGUUAAUGUUUCAGAUCCAGUGACCGUUUCUGCAGAUGCUGCCUGGCCCAUGUUCUUCCAGCCUCCUGUUGUCUACCUUAUCUGGAACACCAACAUCUGCAUGGACAGGCUAGUAAAUAGCAAACCACAGAGCUCUUGGUAUUGCAUGCAUUUUUGUUAGAAUCUGUGUGAUUUUUGCAAUACAGUGAAGAAAUGUCUCAUUUAUACGUGAAGUCAUGCUGCAGAGAAGUAAUUCGUUUGCUUUACAUUUCACAUUUCUUAUAUUUAUUGGAGCAAACAGAUUAGUGUAACUGCUGGUUAGUUGUAGUAUCCAAAAGUUAUGUAUCACUCCUUCAUAAAUAAUUGCGGACUUACCAGGAUCAGUGGAAUUAGAUUGAUUGGACACUUCCAUUUGUUGCCUGUCUCUGACAGAGACAGCGUUUAACCUCAGUUGGGAGUGCAUAUAAAGAGGUACAGAGCACACUAACUUAAACAAGUCAUUUUUUAUUCUCUAUUAAAAACAUCCAAAGUAUUAAAAAUAUCAACGGCACCAAAAAAAAACAUCCAGAUAUCAAAACAUUCCCAAAUACAAAUUGUAAGUAAAUAAGUGAAACCACGAGUUACCUUUCUGUCGAUUUAACGCCGCAGUUAAUUGAAACACAUUUCCCGGUAAUGGGCAGGUGGCCAGACUGAACAGUUCUUUUGAUGUUUUCACCCCGCCUCCUGACGAGGGAUCGGUCUUGCGUUGUUCGUCUCCAGAAUGAUGUUGCAGAUUUCCGAUCAUACUUUGUUUUAUUCACGAUCCUCUUAUCGUCAUCUAAUCAGCGACGUCAUGUUUCUGGAGAAGGGUCUCGGCCCAAAGCGUCAGCUUUCCUGCUUGGGCUGCUGUGUUCAUCCAGCUCUACACCUUGUUAUCUCAUGUUGCUAAGUGUCGGGUCCAACAAUCAUGUACUUGGACUACUUUCCCUCCUUUUAAAACGUUCUUUUAAGAUUUGAUCAACUUGAAUAGCUCACAACUUCCCUACCCGAGUUUUAACGAGUUCCACCACUAGCCAGCACAGCUGUCUGGGAAUAGGUCAAUUAUUGUGCACCUGCUUUUAGUGCGAACAUUUCCAUUUUAACAUGGUAAUUUUGCUAUUAAAAUACCCUUUUGGCACGUGUAAAAUCAUUGUAAUUUUGUUUAGACCAGCACGGUUAGCUUGAGUGUCUAAAAAUUCAAAUUGUCGUAGUUCUGAUCUAUAAAGGACCAGAUUAAUUUAGAUGAAAGCAAAAGAAUACUGGUGCCAGAAAUCUGAUACAAAGCAGAAACUUCUGGAGAAAUACAUGUCUAGCACCAUUAUUGAAGACAGAAACAGUGUUAACGUUUGUAAUCCAGUAUGACUCAUUUUAGGGAUAGUGGGAACUGCAGAUGCUGGAGAAUCUGAGAUAAGGUGUAGAGAUGGGCGAACACAGCAGGCCGAGCAGGAAGGUUGACGUUUUGGGCCUCGACUAUACCUUGCUAUCCAUGACUCAUUUUAGGGCUUGUUUUAUUGUUCUAACAGGUGCCGGAUUAGUCACCAUCUGUGUACUUAAAUAGAUGUGGUCAGGUACUCAAAUUACGUUCAACAUGGACAAAUCCAGAUGUAGUUCGUGUAAUUCAAUUUUUCUAUCUCGUUCUUCACGGUUAAUUUCAAUGAGCAGGGAGCCAAUUCAGCAAUCCGAAGAUGUUUGCGCUAACAUAACUAUGAUGCUCAAUCAAUUCAGUAAACUCACGUUGAGUUUUGAGAAGUAUAGCUCAGUUCAAUAUUCAGAGAAGUGUUAGCAUGCAGCGUUCACAAAAGUGCAGUUUUGCACAUUUGUUUUGCGUGUUGGUGUGAUUCUAUUUGUGUCUGACUGCUUCCAAAGUAAAUAAGCCAUUAGAAGAUAGUUCAUGAAAGAAUUUUUACUCAUGAACAAUCUCGAUAUUGGACUGCAAGUAUUCAGAGCUCUGUUUUAAGGCCGUUACUCAAUAAACAACUUUAAAUGCGACAAUAAAUAACAUUUUAAAAUUUCGGUCCUUCGUCAGUGGUCGGAUUUUCUCAAGAUUUGUUCUUGUUUGUAACACAGCAGAACAGAUACUGCACGAUGCCUGGCUUAAUGAACACUACUCUGCAAAAAAAUUACGUAUAUGUUGAAAGAUUAUUGUUAGACGAUUUUCUAAUGACAGAGAUCAUAAUAUAUGUGCAAGUCAUUAUUUUGAGUGAUAUCGUUGUAUCAUGUAAAGAAAAGCUAGGACAUCUAAUUGCUGUAAGGGAACAUUAAAUGUUAUUCAGAACAUAA